CCUACGGGUGGCAGCAGUGGGGGAUAUUGCACAAUGGGGGGAACCCUGAUGCAGCGACGCCGCGUGGGUGAAGAAGCGCCUCGGCGCGUAAAGCCCUGUCAGCAGGGAAGAAAAUGACGGUACCUGAAGAAGAAGCACCGGCUAACUACGUGCCAGCAGCCGCGGUCAAACGUAGGGGGCAAGCGGUAUCCGGAUUUACGGGGUGUAAAGGGGGCGCAGACGGCGAUGCAAGCAAGGAGUGAAAGCCCGGGGGCCAACCCCGGGACUGCUGUUGGAACUGGGUGGCUGGAGUGGAGGAGGGGCAGGCGGAAUUCCUGGUGUAGCGGUGAAAUGCGUAGAUAUCAGGAGGAACACCGGUGGCGAAGGCGGCCUGCUGGACUGAAACUGACGUUGAGGCCCGAAAGCGUGGGGAGCAAACAGGAUUAGAUACCCCUGUAGUC
rnacentral:rRNA from 1 species